UCUAUAAUCACCACCAUGUAAAAGCAUAAGGGUGUCCGUAUGUGCACUCGGCACAGGACACUCGAGGCAAGCAUUCGAUGAUCAACUUUGUGUCCUAGUGGAUCAUGUUCCAUGCAGCUGACCAAAACUGUGGCCAUAAGGUGGUCACUGCCUGUCGUGGCGACAAUCUCCGAACCUGUUGGUGGAAACAAGCGGUAAGGGAUGCCAUCAAGCUGAAAAAUGAUUCCUCUUGCGCCUUUUGGACCUGUGGGUAUCCAGAGGCGGCUGAUGGGUACCGGCUGGCCAAGCAAAAUGCAGCCUUGGCAGUCCAUGAGGCAAAAAUUGUGCGAGGGAGAAGUUUGGCGAGGCCAUGGAGAAUAACUCCCAGAAGGCUUCAAAGAAAUUCUGGUCCACCAUUCGGCAUCUCUUGAGAGGUAAGUAGUGCAUGGUCAACACUGUAUACAGUGGGAUAGGUGCUGUUGACCUCAACACAGGAUAUUGUGAAUUGGUGGAGAGAAUACUUCAAAGACCUCCUCACUUCCACUGACAUGAGGAUCACACUCCUCAGCUUACCCAGUCUAUUCAAGGGUGCAGGAGACUAGGGUCCAUCAGAAAGUUGAAUCUCAGGUCCAAGAGGAGCAGUGAGGUUUUCUUCCUGUCUGUAGAACAGUGGACCAGGUCCUAUGCAUUGUACUCAAGGGUGUAUGGGAGUUCACUCAACCAGUCUACAUGUGUUGUGUGGACUUGGAGAAGGCUUUGACCGUUUACCCUGAGGGAUCUUGUGGAAGAUGCUCUGGGAGUAUGGGGUAUCGGACGCCCUAGUACGGGCAGUACGAUCUCUGUACAACUGGUGUCAGGGUUUGGUCCACAUUGCCAGCAGCAAUUCAUAUUAAUUUUCAGUGAAGGUUGGACUCCGCCAAGGCUACCCUUUGUCACCGAUUCUAUUCUCUUUUACGGGCAAAAUUUCUAGGCGUAGCCAAGCUGUUGAGUGCGUCCGGUUUGAGGCGAGCUGCUGUGUCUCCAAAUUGAGAGGAGCCACAUGAGGUUGCUCGGGCAUCUGAUCUGGAUGCCAUCUGGACGUCUCCUUGGUGAAGUGUUCUGGGUAUAUCCCACU